GACGUAGGGGGCCAGCGUUGCUCGGAAUUACUGGGUGUAAAGGGUUCGUAGGCGGUGUGGCAAGUCGGGAGUGAAAUCUCUGGGCUCAACCCAGAGUCUGCUUCCGAAACUGCUGUGCUUGAGUGUGGGAGAGGCGCGUGGAAUUGCAGGUGUAGCGGUGAAAUGCGUAGAUAUCAGGAGGAACACCUGUGGCGAAAGCGGCUCACUGGACCAUAACUGACGCUGAUGCACGAAAGCUAGGGGAGCAAACAGG
rnacentral:rRNA from 1 species